GUGCUUGCACCGAGCGGAUGAGUUGCGAACGGGUGAGUAACGCGUAGGUAACCUGCCUCUUAGCGGGGGAUAACUAUUGGAAACGAUAGCUAAUACCGCAUAAAAGUCGACAUUGCAUGAUGUUGACUUGAAAGGUGCAAUUGCAUCACUAAGAGAUGGACCUGCGUUGUAUUAGCUAGUUGGUGAGGUAACGGCUCACCAAGGCGACGAUACAUAGCCGACCUGAGAGGGUGAUCGGCCACACUGGGACUGAGACACGGCCCAGACUCCUACGGGAGGCAGCAGUAGGGAAUCUUCGGCAAUGGGGGCAACCCUGACCGAGCAACGCCGCGUGAGUGAAGAAGGUUUUCGGAUCGUAAAGCUCUGUUGUAAGAGAAGAACGAGUGUGAGAGUGGAAAGUUCACACUGUGACGGUAACUUACCAGAAAGGGACGGCUAACUACGUGCCAGCAGCCGCGGUAAUACGUAGGUCCCGAGCGUUAUCCGGAUUUAUUGGGCGUAAAGCGAGCGCAGGCGGUUAGAUAAGUCUGAAGUUAAAGGCUGUGGCUUAACCAUAGUACGCUUUGGAAACUGUUUAACUUGAGUGCAGAAGGGGAGAGUGGAAUUCCAUGUGUAGCGGUGAAAUGCGUAGAUAUAUGGAGGAACACCGGUGGCGAAAGCGGCUCUCUGGUCUGUAACUGACGCUGAGGCUCGAAAGCGUGGGGAGCAACAGGAUU
rnacentral:rRNA from 1 species